GGGGGCACUCCGGGGGGGGCGGGGGUUUGGGUUUGGGGGUGCGGAUGUGGGGUUGGGAUUUGGGGUCGGGCUAUGGGGCGCAUGUGGGGUAUCUAUGGGGCAGCCAUGGGGCGGCUAUGGGGUGCGAUGGAGCACUGUGGGGCGCACUCACGAGUAGCUGUGAGGCUGGGGAACCUAUGGGGGACUUAUAGGGUAUCUAUGGGGCGCUGUGGGGCUCACUGUGGGGCGCCCACGAGUAGCUGUGAUGCCUAUGGGUCGCUAUAGGGUAUCUCUGGGUCGCUAGGGGGAGCUGUGGGGCUCUAUGGGGCGCUCACCAGUAGCUGUGAUGCUGUGGUACCUAUGGGGUACCUAUGAGGCUCUAUGGGUCGCUCACGAGUAGCUGUGGUGGCUAUGGGGCGCUAUGGGCGCUUUAUGUAUGUAUGUAUGUGCCGCGAGGUGCCGCCGGGGGGCGCUCACGAGUAGCUGUGAUGGCUAUGGGGUUAUGUAUGUAUGUGCCGCGCUGUGCCGCCAGGGGGCGCUCACGAGUAGCUGUGAUGCCUAUGGAUGCCUAUG
ensembl:lncRNA